AGCGAACGCUGGCGGCAGGCUUAACACAUGCAAGUCGAGCGCCCCGCAAGGGGAGCGGCAGACGGGAGAGUAACACGUGGGAACAUACCUUUUGGUUCGGAACAACUGAGGGAAACUUCAGCUAAUACCGGAUAAGCCCUUACGGGGAAAGAUUUAUCGCCGAAAGAUUGGCCCGCGUCUGAUUAGCUAGUUGGUGAGGUAACGGCUCACCAAGGCGACGAUCAGUAGCUGGUCUGAGAGGAUGAUCAGCCUCACUGGGACUGAGACACGGCCCAGACUCCUACGGGAGGCAGCAGUGGGGAAUAUUGGACAAUGGGGGCAACCCUGAUCCAGCCAUGCCGCGUGAGUGAUGAAGGCCUUAGGGUUGUAAAGCUCUUUUGCCCGGUAAGAUAAUGACGGUACCGGGAGAAUAAGCCCCGGCUAACUUCGUG
rnacentral:rRNA from 1 species